rnacentral:rRNA from 1 species
UACGGAGGGUGCGAGCGUUAAUCGGAAUUACUGGGCGUAAAGGGUGCGUAGGUGGCGAACUAAGUUAUGUGUAAAAUCCCCGGGCUCAACCUGGGACUGUCAGAUAAUACUGGUACGCUAGAGUAUGGGAGAGGGUAGUGGAAUUUCCGGUGUAGCGGUGAAAUGCGUAGAGAUCGGAAGGAACACCAGUGGCGAAGGCGGCUACCUGGCCUAAUACUGACACUGAGGCACGAAAGCGUGGGGAGCAAACAGG